UACAGAGGUCUCAAGCGUUGUUCGGAUUCAUUGGGCGUAAAGGGUGCGUAGGCGGCGAGGCAAGUCUGGUGUGAAAUCCCGGGGCUCAACCCCGGAAAGGUCAAUCGAUACUGCGGGGCUAGAGUGCAGAAGGGGCAACUGGAAUUCUCGGUGUAGCGGUGAAAUGCGUAGAUAUCGAGAGGAACACCUGCGGCGAAGGCGGGUUGCUGGGCUGACACUGACGCUGAAGCGCGAAAGCUAGGGGAGCGAACGGG
rnacentral:rRNA from 1 species